GGAACAGAUGGAAUCCAGUACCUGGUGGGAUUGGUACAUGAUGAUUUUGGUCAAGAUUCUGGAUUUGACUUGGAUCAGGAAACCACCCAGGCUACACCACCAAGUCUUACAGAGGCCUAAAGUUGGAUGGAAUGGCACGACCUAACCUUUUGUACUGAGCAGCUGAUGGAAAAAAAAUCUGAAUAAGUAGACGGGGCAGCAUCGAUCUGUGGCGUUUCUGUCGACAGUCAGCACCUCACCAUCCUGACACAGAGGAGCUAGUUCCACACAGGAGGAGCACACUGGAGGAAACAAGCAGAUUUUAUGUGGACAGCAGCCGGUGUCGUCAGCCAUGCUGAUGAUCAUCUCUCCUGUUCGAUGGCACACGGGCGUCGGCAUGCUGGA